rnacentral:tRNA from 1 species
GGAGGGGACAGCUCAGUGGUGGAGUGCCUGUUCCGCAUGCACAAGGUCCUGGGUUCGAGCCCCAGCACCUCCG